rnacentral:tRNA from 1 species
GGCUCCAUCGAAUAAAAGGAUAGUUCAUCAGCCUUUCAAGCUGAAAAUGUAGGGUUCGAUUCCCACUGGAGCUA